rnacentral:lncRNA from 1 species
UCCAGAACAUUCAAACCAGAAAAUUUUCAUAUACAGAGCAAUGAGUUGUUGCACCAUCAAUAAGCUAGACCAUACUGAUGCUAGAUUUUCACUGCUAGUAUUCCAUCCUCGCUGAAUUUUGAUAUACAGAGCAAUGAGUUGUUGCACCAUCAAUAAGAUAAACCACGCCGAUCCUAGAAUUUUGUGGCUAGAUUUCCACUGCUAGUAUUCCAUCCUUCUUGAACUUGAACUGAAUACUGCAUGUGCCAAAGAAUGUCUUCUAUUGAUGGACGCGAGCUUGAUUCUUUGUUUAAACAACUUAUGGUGAUCUGAGCUACUGUUUUUAGUGAUUCAUAUGCAAAUGUUCCUCUAAUGGAGAGGUCAGUCAAAUCUUUGAGUUUCGAUGGCGAUUCUGCUAAGCAAAUUUCCAACUGUUCAUUGGAAAAAGUACAUUUUAGCUUUGAUUAGUUGAAUCAUCAAAAGCAGCACGAGGCAAGUAAAGAUUUUCAUUUAUCAAUUAUAAGAAAACUGUUGCUGGUUACCUGAAGUUUUAGGUCAUCUAUAUCGCUUGGAGAAAUGAUUGGUCGACCAGUAAUAACUUCAAGCAAUAUAACUCCCAGCUGAUAAAUGUCGUCUUUGUCCGUGUUUUGCUGCUAGAUAAGGGCUAUCUUGUCCAUUCAGAGGGCUUUCGGAACCCACCUGUGAAGUUGCAGCAACACAUGAUAUUAGGGAUGUGCUACAUUUGAGACUUGUUGACUUAGUGAGAUGUCCUAAAUGAGCGUUGCUUGAAUAGAUUUACCUUUGAUGGCAAGGACAAGUUAUAGCUGCUUAUUUUUGCAGAUAGGCUCUCAUCCAGCAAUAUGUUUUCAAUCUUUAGAUCAUUCCCAAUAACACCAGAGGUGUGUAGGUACUGAAUUCCCUUUGCAAUACUCAUCAUAAUCGAGAUUCUUUGUGGCCAUUUAAGAACUUCCCUCUUUCUCCAGUCUGCCAAUUUGUCAAUACAUAAUAUCUCAUUGCCUUUCAAGGAAUAGGAGCUGAAUCUUAAAGAUGGAGAAUGAUAGAAAUCUAGUCUAUGUUUACCAGUUAAGUGAUCCCUUAGUGAGCCAUUAGCCACAUUUUCGAGCACGAUGAGACCUUGCUUGGUGUGUUGGGAUGGUCCUGGUAUGUGACAAUACAGUGUCCAAGAACACUAACUAGAUGCCUGUGUCUGAGUCUUGAAAUAACUUCCAUGUGCUGCUGCAGGCUUUGAGGAGAGUACUUCUGCUUUAGCUUCAAACAUCUUACCAGGACAGCUGAGCCAUCUCUCAGCCAACCUCUGUAGAUCUAUAACAAAAAUGAUAAAACUAGGUUUUAGUUCCUAAACAGUUUUCAGGUUAAAUCUACAACUAUAACCAAGUAAUGUCAGCUUCAAAAACGCUGAUUUCACUCUUUACCUGAGCCUGAGAGACUUCGGCAACCAGGUUGGCAGCGUCAAAGUUAUCUGUCGCAUCUUCAAUCUCCUCCAAUGUGAAAACAUGAUACGGUGGAAGAUUUAAUGAUACUAUUCUCAUUGUGCGUGGCACAUGCCCUGCACCACAAUUGUUUCAAUGUCACAUCACAAGAACAAACGCAUCUAAUGAUCUUUGGAGUAAUAUUAUCAGAUUUGUCUGUUUAAUUAUUGCAGGUAGGAAAGUGGAUGCUACAACUUACUUCCAUGAACAACCGGAGAGGUAUGAGCAGCAUUCUUGUCAAAAACAAAGCUCUCGCAUUUGUAUUCUUUGGCUCUAUUCCGCUCCAAUCUCCUGUACACGACCAGGACCAAAACGCCAAGUACAGCAAUGAUUGCAACAACAGCCACAAUGACACCUAGUACAAGGCCAAGCUUGACAGUGGUUCGCUCUUUUUGUUUUCUAGUAGGAGGCUGAACUGCUAGAGCUUCUUUAUGGCAGAAUGAGGAUGGCCGUUGAUACUUGGAACUUGUAUUUUUUGACAGCAAUUAAAUGAAUCAAUGACUUUCCUUUUUGGAAUUUGAUGCAAGGCAAGAAGGUAACAUUCCUAUUAAAAGGUUAUUUGACACAUCAACGAAGGUAGGUUCUCGUGGCAGGAUACACUUGCUCGAAGUUCACCACUUAGCUGAUUUUUGGCAAGAUUUAUGGAUUCAAUUGAUGGCAAAGAAAACAGAAUGAAGGAAUUGGUCCUUGAAGUUUAUUAGAUGAGAUAUCAAGUAUUUGAAGACGAUUAAACUUAAUGAAAUCUGGAGGAAUUUGGAUCUCAAAGCCAUGCUCCUAAGAUUGAUACGUACCAGGUUGUUGCCUAAAGAAGGAAACUUAGGUCCAAGAGGAUUGUUACUGAUAUCUAGCUCUUCAAGCUGUGAUAGGCCUUUCAGAUCUGGAAUACUUCCAUUUAACAGAUUAUCAGCCAAAACAAGACUUUUCAGGUUCUUGAAAGUGGCAAUCUCUGGGGGAUGCCACCCUGAAUGAAGUUGGAACUAAUGUUUAGCACCUCAGAGAAUCAAGCCUAUCAACCUUGGCAGGUAAUGGUCCCCAUAUUCCCAGGGAUACUAAUGACAGCCUUUUCAGAUUGGAAAGCUUAGUUAUGACUGUAAAGAAUGAAUCAAUUGAAAAUCCCUGGGACAGAGUUCUGUGAGGUAUGGAAAAGUUUGCAGCAGAUGGUUUUGGAACCUUUGAAGGGCUGCUUUUAUUUCCAACAAUAGUUAACUCAGUAAUGUGAUUACCUGAGCACAAGAUGACUAAAGAAGGUGACUGAGGGAGAGAACAAAAGUUUGUCCAGUUAUUCCAUCCUUUAAGAACGUCUGGAUAUUCAAGAAAUUGUUGAACUCGGUAAAGGAUUCUUGUUUCUGCAGGAACUAGCUGUGCACUAGGAGCAUGAACAAGCAGGAGUAGGAACAAAGACAGCAAGAAACUGUACCCAAUACGAAAAACCUCCAUUUCUUGGGAAAUGAAGUGCUAAUCAACCCACUGCAAAACCUCAAAUUUCUUCCACAGUAAUAUGCCAACAAGAAUUUAGCUAAAUCCUAGUUUACAUGUAGCACUCUGAGGUGGAACUGCAAGCAGAGCAGUUAAAGAAAGCAAAAGCAUGAGAUCCUAGUUUACAUGUAGUAUAU